rnacentral:rRNA from 1 species
CCUACGGGGGGCUGCAGUAGGGAAUAUUGCGCAAUGGAGGGAACUCUGACGCAGCGACGCCGCGUGAGCGAUGAAGGUCUUCGGAUCGUAAAGCUCUGUCCUCAGGGAAGAAGGUCUUUUGACUUGACGGUACCUGUGGAGGAAGCCCCGGCUAACUACGUGCCAGCAGCCGCGGUAAUACGUAGGGGGCAAGCGUUGUCCGGAAUUAUUGGGCGUAAAGGGUGCGUAGGCGGCCUUUUAAGUCAGAUGUGAAAGCCCACGGCUUAACCGUGGGAUUGCAUUUGAAACUGGAGGGCUUGAGUAUCGGAGAGGGUAGUGGAAUUCCCAGUGUAGCGGUGAAAUGCGUAGAUAUUGGGAGGAACACCAGUGGCGAAGGCGACUACCUGGACGAAAACUGACGCUGAUGCACGAAAGCUAGGGGAGCAAACAGGAUUAGAUACCCGAGUAGUC